rnacentral:rRNA from 1 species
GACGAACGCUGGCGGCGUGCCUAACACAUGCAAGUCGAACGAAGUGGCGGACGGGUGAGUAACGCGUAAUCAACCUGCCCUUCAGAGGGGGACAACAGUUGAAAACGACUGCUAAUACCGCAUACUGAAGGAGGGGCUUGCGUCGGAUUGGCUAGGUGGCGGGGGAACGGCCCACCAAGGCGAUGGUCAGUAGCCGGUCUGAGAGGAUGAACGGCCACAGUGGGACGGAGACACGGCCCAGACGCCUACGGGAGGCAGCAGUGGGGAAUCUUCCGCAAGGGACGAAAGUCUGACCGAGCAACGCCGCGUGAGUGAAGAAGGUUUUCGGAUCGUAAAACUCGGUUGGUAGAGAAGCGGUACCGGAAUAGAAAGCCACGGCUAACUCCGUGCCAGCCGCCGCGGUAAUAC